ACCUAAUAGAUACCCUGGUAGUCCACGCCCUAAACGAUGCGAACUGGAUGUUGGGUACAUUACGGUACUCAGUGUCGAAAGCUAAACGCGUUAAGUUCGCCGCCUGGGGAGUACGGUCGCAAGACUGAAACUCAAAGGAAUUGACGGGGGCCCGCACAAGCGGUGGAGUAUGUGGUUUAAUUCGAUGCAACGCGAAGAACCCUACCUGGCCUUGACAUCUGUCGAAUCCUGCAGAGAUGCGGGGGUGCCGCAAGGAACGACAAGACAGGUGCUGCAUGGCUGUCGUCAGCUCGUGUCGUGAGAUGUUGGGUUAAGUCCCGCAACGAGCGCAACCCUUGUCCCUAGUUGCCAGCACAUCAUGGUGGGAACUCUAGGGAGACUGCCGGUGACAAACCGGAGGAAGGUGGGGAUGGCGUCAAGUCCUCAUGGCCC
rnacentral:rRNA from 1 species